UACGUAGGGGGCAAGCGUUGUCCGGAAUUAUUGGGCGUAAAGAGCGCGUAGGCGGUCCGAUAAGUCGGCUGUGAAAGUCAGGGGCUCAACCCUUGAAAGCCGGCCGAUACUGUCGGACUAGAGUUCGGAAGAGGCAAGUGGAAUUCCCGGUGUAGCGGUGAAAUGCGCAGAUAUUCGCAAGAACACCGGUGGCGAAGGCGGCCCGCUGGGCAACUGCUGACACUGAUGCGCGACAGCGUGGGGAGCAAACAGG
rnacentral:rRNA from 1 species